AGGACGAACGCUGGCGGCGUGCCUAAUACAUGCAAGUCGAACGCUUCUUUUCCCACCGGAGCUUGCUCCACCGGGAAAAGAGGAGUGGCGAACGGGUGAGUAACACGUGGGUAACCUGCCCAUCAGAAGGGGAUAACACUUGGAAACAGGUGCUAAUACCGUAUAACAAUCGAAACCGCAUGGUUUCGUUUUGAAAGGCGCUUUACGGUGCCGCUGAUGGAUGGACCCGCGGUGCAUUAGCUAGUUGGUGAGGUAACGGCUCACCAAGGCCACGAUGCAUAGCCGACCUGAGAGGGUGAUCGGCCACAUUGGGACUGAGACACGGCCCAAACUCCUACGGGAGGCAGCAGUAGGGAAUCUUCGGCAAUGGACGAAAGUCUGACCGAGCAACGCCGCGUGAGUGAAGAAGGUUUUCGGAUCGUAAAACUCUGUUGUUAGAGAAGAACAAGGGUGAGAGUAACUGUUCACCCCUUGACGGUAUCUAACCAGAAAGCCACGGCUAACUACGUGCCAGCAGCCGCGGUAAUACGUAGGUGGCAAGCGUUGUCCGGAUUUAUUGGGCGUAAAGCGAGCGCAGGCGGUUUCUUAAGUCUGAUGUGAAAGCCCCCGGCUCAACCGGGGAGGGUCAUUGGAAACUGGGAGACUUGAGUGCAGAAGAGGAGAGUGGAAUUCCAUGUGUAGCGGUGAAAUGCGUAGAUAUAUGGAGGAACACCAGUGGCGAAGGCGGCUCUCUGGUCUGUAACUGACGCUGAGGCUCGAAAGCGUGGGGAGCAAACAGGAUUA
rnacentral:rRNA from 1 species